AGCUUUGUGCAGUGGCAGAAUAGUAGCUGAUGAGGUUUAUCCAAGGCGCAAUUAUUGCUAAUUGAAAACUUUUCCCAAAACUAAGCAACCUGUGCAUUGUCCUUCCCAAGUCACAUGUGGCGAUGGAC
rnacentral:snRNA from 1 species